UCUUCUUAUUCGGUUCAAUCUCUUGCUGCUUUCACAUUUCAUCUAUCAAUUCCCACAUUCCUCCAUCAACUCUCUUCAUUCCAAACCCUAAUUCACUACUUUCGUUAUCCAUAUCAUCAAUAAACUAAGUCACUGACAAUCGUGAAUUUUCAAACCCUAAUCAACGCAGAUUCGAUCUUCGAAAUUCAAUCAGUUUGGUUUGGGGAAUUGGAGAGACGAUGAGUGCUCAGAAGAAGAGGAAUUUUCAGAUAGAAGCUUUUAAACAUCGGGUCGUGGUGGAUCCGAAAUACGCAGAGAAGACUUGGAAGAUCUUGGAACAUGCGAUUCAGGAGAUAUACAAUCACAAAAUUGGUUGUGUUCUCUCUCUCUCUCUCUCUCUCUCUCUCUCUCUCCUUGGGCUCACUGCCUCCAUUGCCUUGUUUCAACCACUUGCUCUUCUGGAUUUCGAGUGAUUCUCUGCCUAAACAGGCGAUUGUCAUCCUUCUCCUUCUGCUCUUUGCUCUAUAGAUAUGCAGCUAUUUUGAAAUUUUAUUGCCUUUUACCUUUACAAAUUGUUGCAGGUGUACCCAGAUGGGAAAAUGAGUCAGCAUUUUGCAAGCAUACUUUGUGUUGUUGCAGGUGUAACCAGUUCAUUGGUUUGGUUUGUGUUGUUAUUCUCUCUUUGUCCUAUGUGCCUAAUAUUUCAUGCAUAAACAUACUUUGUGUUCUCGAUACGUAUUGAUGCUUGUAGAAUGAAUUGGUUAGAACUCAGUCAGUAAUCAGCCCUGCAUAGGAAAUUUCAAAUGCUGUUGACACACAAUUUUACAAUUUAAGGAUCUUUAAUGAAAAAAUUGUUGAGAAAAGCUGAAUAGAUUGUUUAAUUUUGUACCAUUUAGAUAUUUAUGUAUGCUGAUACAUUGCGACUGUUUUAGUAGUUCUAAACUUGAAUCUUCCUUCUCUUCUUUCUGUAAUAAAAAUUGGUUGCAGAGCUUUUCAGGAAUUACUUGAAACAGAUAAGGGAGGAAACAAGUGGGAGACUCUUGAGCGUUGCAUACAGGCCCAAUGGCGCACCAAAUAAAUGGUGGCUGGCAUUCGCCAAGAGAAAAUUUAUGAACAUCAUUGUUCCCUGACGACCUUAUUCCAAGGCCAUUCAGCAGAAAAUCACCAUUUUGGCACCCCACACUCGACAAUUAUGGACAGAGUUGGUUUCAGAAAAUUCGUGAUAACAUGAUCUGAAGAACGAAAGGAAGCAUUACAGCUUUUUUAGCAAGCGAAGGAUACAGAAGGUCACUUUGGGUGUAUAGAAUUACCAAUUCCAGUAUAUCAUCCUUCCCAUGUGAGCGAACUGAAGCGGUUGUUGAGCCUGGUUUGCUUUAAGUGCUUGAAGUUGAGAAGUGGGAAGGUAAUGGAUAUGUUUAUAGAAGGCUCCACGUAAAAUCUAUUUGUCAUAAGUAAUUAAAUCCUUUUGCGUUCUUGAUUGAGAGGGUAGCAGAUUAUUGUGUUGUGUUAUGGUAAGAAUUUGAAGCUCUCGGUGAUUAUAGAUCAUUCUGCCAUAAUAUAUCCUAUAUUUGAUUAUUUAAUAAAGGAAGUUGGCAGACAUUUGAGUGUGGUCACAUAUGUGGUGGCCCUUUUCUAAAAGUGUUGUGUGAAUAUCAUUAUUUUUCUAUUGUUUCUCUGAGACAUUUAAUUUUAUAAAUUGUUUCUCUCUCCUUAUUUUAACUAAAA